CUCACAUCUAGCUUUCUAGUGCUGUUAGUUAAAUUGUUUUGAGGGCUCAAAAUGUUGAUUCUAUUUUUAUUCUCCAAUUAUUGUUUUUCUUUUCUUUUUAACCAUGAAAGAGCUCAGUGCCUUUGAAUUUUCAUUGUGCUAGAGUUAAAAGCAUUCAUUAGGCAUUCCAAAAAUUAAUUUUUAUAUUGGUUUGUGAUUUGUCACUCCCAAGUGGUAUUACGGCUU
rnacentral:misc_RNA from 1 species